rnacentral:rRNA from 1 species
UGGAUGAGUGGCGAACGGGUGAGUAACACGUGAGUAACCUGCCCCCUUCUUCUGGAUAACCGCAUGAAAGUGUGGCUAAUACGGGAUAUUCUGCGCCUGCUGCAUGGUGGGUGUGGGAAAGAUAUUGUUUCGGUGGGGGAUGGGCUCGCGGCCUAUCAGCUUGUUGGUGGGGUGAUGGCCUACCAAGGCGGUGACGGGUAGCCGGCCUGAGAGGGUGGACGGUCACACUGGGACUGAGACACGGCCCAGACUCCUACGGGAGGCAGCAGUGGGGAAUAUUGCACAAUGGGCGCAAGCCUGAUGCAGCGACGCCGCGUGAGGGAUGGAGGCCUUCGGGUUGUAAACCUCUUUCGCCAGUGAAGCAGGCCUGUCCCUUGUGGGUGGGUUGACGGUAGCUGGAUAAGAAGCGCCGGCUAACUACGUGCCAGCAGCCGCGGUAAUACGUAGGGCGCGAGCGUUGUCCGGAAUUAUUGGGCGUAAAGAGCUCGUAGGCGGCUGGUCGCGUCUGUCGUGAAAUCCUCUGGCUUAACUGGGGGCUUGCGGUGGGUACGGGCCGGCUUGAGUGCGGUAGGGGAGACUGGAACUCCUGGUGUAGCGGUGGAAUGCCGCAGAUAUCAGGAAGAACACCGGUGG